CUACGGGCGGCUGCAGUGAGGAAUAUUGCACAAUGGGGGGAACCCUAAUGCAGCAACGCCGCGUGGAGGAUGACGCAUUUCGGUGUGUAAACUCCGUUUAUAUGUCAAGAAAAUGACGGUAGCAUAUGAAUAAGCACCGGCUAACUCCGUGCCAGCAGCCGCGGUAAUACGGAGGGUGCAAGCGUUACUCGGAAUCACUGGGCGUAAAGGACGCGUAGGCGGGUUGGAAAGUCAGGUGUGAAAUCCUACAGCUUAACUGUAGAACUGCACUUGAAACUUCUAAUCUAGAGUAUGGGAGGGGGAGAUGGAAUUAGUGGUGUAGGGGUAAAAUCCGUAGAUAUCACUAGGAAUACCUAAAGCGAAGGCGAUCUCCUGGAACAUUACUGACGCUAAGGCGUGAAAGCGUGGGGAGCAAACAGGAUUAGAUACCCUUGUAGUC
rnacentral:rRNA from 1 species